rnacentral:lncRNA from 1 species
GGUGAGUGAGAUUUAUAAAUUGGAUAUAUAAAAUAGAUCAGUGAAUGAAGCUUUUACAUAUCUCCCUUGAUCUCUUGUUCACACAAAUAUACUUUAUUCUUUAAACUUCCAACAAAAACUGAUUUAUUGUUGUCAUAGCAACAGCCAUCUAUUGGAAAUACCAAUGCCAUAAACUGAAGAUUUUACUUGGAAUACUUUUUUCUGUUCUUUUUCUUUUCUCUUUUGUUUUUAGACAAAAAUGUAUCGGAAAUGCAUUAUCAAGAUUCUGCUUAACAUUUAGAAGCGCAUACUGCUGCACACAUAUGCACGUCGCACUGGUCUCUCUCUCUCUCUCUCUCUCUCUCUCUCUCUCUCUCUCUCUCUCUCUCUCUCUCUCUCUCUCUCUCUCUCUCUCUCUCUCUCUCUCUCUCUCUCUCUCUCUCUCUUACUCAAUAACUAUCAAUCAACAGGAGUGGUGUGUGGUAAGUAGCUUGCUUACCAACCACAUGGUUCCGGGUUCAGUCCCACUGCGUGGCACCUUGGGCAAGUGUCUUCUACUAUAGCCUCGGGCCAACCAAAGCCUUGUGAGUGGAUUUGGUUGACGGAAACUGAAAGAAGCCCGUCAUAUAUAUGUAUAUAUAUGUAUAUGUUUGUGUUUGUCCCCCUAGCAUCGCUUGACAACCGAUGCUGGUGUGUUUAUGUCCCCGUCACUUAGCGGUUCGGCAAAAGAGACUGAUAGAAUAAGUACUAGGCUUACAAAGAAUAAGUCCUGGGGUUGAGUUGCUUGAUUAAAGGUGGUGCUCCAGCAUGGCGGCAGUCAAAUGACUGAAACAAGUAAAAGAGUAAAAGAGUAUAUAUAUGUGUGAAAAUAUGUGUGUAUAUAUGUAUGUAUGUAUGUAUGUAUGUAUGUAUGUAUGUAUGUAUGUAUGCAUGUAUGUAUGUGUGUGUGUAUGUAUGUUUGUAUGUAUGUAUGUAUGUGUGUAUGUAUGUGUGUAUGUAUGUAUGGUAAUGCAAGCAGGAAAAAUAGAAUUCAAAAUAUAUGUAUACUUUUGUUAGUAUUUAGCAGAAGCAACAGAGUGACUCAAAAGCUGAGAGAUUUGUGCAUCGGCACUUAUCAACUAUAUAUGUGUGUAUGUGCAUAUAUAUAUAUAUAUAUAUAUAUAUAUAUAUAUCAUCAUCAUCAUUGUUCGACCGUGGUCGAUCAAUGGAAUUUACCAUGCUACGCCAGACUUCAUGGUCCAUCAUAGCAUUACGGAGGUCCUGUUGCUGGAUGCCUGUAUCCCUGGAGAUUACUUCAGGGUAGGAGAGUGUGCGCCCUCUGGUAUUGCGAGUAGAUGGCUUCCAGAGGAGAAGAGUAAAAAUUACCUCUUUUUCAGCUCUACAGCAAUGUCCAGCAAACUGGACUCUCUUACCUUUCACAAGAGAUGACACAGGUGGUAGUUUCCCAUAUAUUUGCAUUUUGGUUGGAUGGCGCUUCCACGAGAGAUUUUGAGCUCUCAUAAGGAGGCGAGUGUAGGUUCCAUCCAACCGCCUCUCAAGCUUCUUUGAUAACGUCCAGGUUUCUGAGCCAUAUAGUAGAAUAUAUAUAUAUAUAUAUAUAUAUAUAUAUAUAUAUAUAUAGCGCUAAGAGUACCAUACGAGUGAGAUUGGGGCCAGAGCAACAAGUUGGCCUCUGAGCCAAUGGCACGUUAAAAACACCAUUUGAGCAUGAUCGUUACCUGCGUCACCUUACUAGCACUUGUGCAGGUGGCACUUGAAAAAACAUUCGAGUGAGGUCAUUGCCAGUGCCACUGGACUGGCUCCUGUGCAGGUGGCAUGUAAAAGCACCCCCUACACUCUCAGAGUGGUUGGUGUUAGGAACCCUAUAAAGCCAGCCUUCACAAGUAAUAAAUAUAUAUAUGUAUAUAUAUAUAUAUAUAUAUAUAUAUAGGUGCAGGAGUUGGUGUGUGGUAAGUAGCUUGCUUUCCAACCACAUGGUUCCAGGUUCAGUCCCACUGUGUGGAACGUUGGGCCAGUGUCUUCUACUAUAGCCUCGGGCCAACUAAAACCUACCAAAACUGAAAGAAACCCGUCAUGUAUAUAUAUAUAUAUAUAUAUAUAUAUAUAUAUAUAUAUUGGGCGUGUGUGUGUAUUUGUAUGUCCAUAUUUGACAACAAAUGCUGGUGUGUUUAUGUCCCUGUAACUUAGCAGUUCAUCAAAAGAGACCAAUAAAAUUAGUACUAGACUUGCAAAGAAUAAGUCCUGGGAUUGAUUUCUUCAACUAAAGGUGGUGCUCCAGCAUGGCCACAGUCAAAUGACUGAAACAAACAAGUAGAAGAAAUAUAAGAAAUUAUACACACACACACACACACACACACACACACAAAUAUGUCUGUGUGUGUGUGUUCAUAAAACAGUAACUCAUAAAUGGUGUUUAAAUUAGUGACAGCUGGUUCAAUGUUUACACACACACAUAUGUGUGUGUAUACAUUGUAUAUAUAUAUAUAUAUCGUAGGGCGAGAUGCCGUGCUUGAGGAGACCUCAGUUCAUCAACAUCAACAUCAAUAUCAACAUCAACAUCAAUAUCAAAAUCAAAUGAAAUUACAUAGAAAUUGUAGUGGUGACCCCUGUGCCGGUGGCACGUAAAAAGCACCAUCCGAAUGUGGCCAAUCCCAGUGCCGCCUCGACUGGCUUCUGUGCCAGUGGCACAUAAAAAGCACCCACUACCCACUCGGAGUGGUUGGCAUUAGGAAGGGCAUCCAAAUCAGAUUGGAGCCUGGUGCUGCCUCCUGGCUUCCCAGACCCCAGUUGAACCGUCCAACCCAUGCCAGCAUGGAAAACGGACGUUAAACGAUGAUGAUGAUGAUAUAUGUGUGUGUGUGUGUGUUUAAAUGCAUAUAUGUGUGGAUGUGCGAAAAAGGAACAAAACAAUUAAAUAGCAAAAAGAAUAACAGAAAUCUAAAUAAUUUAUAUAUUUGUUUAUGUUAUAUUUCUUUGUUCUUUUUUUUUACAGGUUUCUUUUUAAUUAAAAUCUUAAUCUCAGCAUUUUAGUCUCUCAUUAAAAGUGUAGAUUCUUUGCUUGAAGAGUUAUGGAAUUUCUAUGGAACUUAUUACCAGAAUAGAUGUAUGUGUGUACGUGUGUAUGUCCUUGUAUGGGAGUGUUUCUGUGCAUAUAUGUAUGUAUGUGUGUGUGUGUGUGAAGGUGCAUGGCCCAGUGGUUACAGCGUCAAGCUUACAGUUGUGAUGUGUGAGUUUGAUUCCUGGACUGGGCUGCGUGUUGUGUUCUUGAGCAAGACACUUUAUUUCACUUUGCUCCAGUUCACUCAGCUGUAGAAAUGAGUUGCGACGUCACUGGUGCCAAGCUGUAUCGGCCCCUUUUGCCUUUCCCUUGGAUAACAUUGGUGGCGUGGAGAGGGGAGGCCGGUAUGCAUGGGUGGUUGCUGGUCUUCCAUAAAAACAACUCUAGGUUGUGCGUUUGCCAGCGAGGUGCAUUGUACAUCAGAGAGGAACCUCUUAGGUGCACCCAUGGUCAUUCACGACUGAUGAGGUCAAAUUUUUUAUUGGUGCCUUGACUAGUUUCCAUGCUGGUGGCACAUAAAAAGUAUCAUCUGAUUGUGGUCGAUGCCAGCUCCUCUGGCCCCUGUGCCAGUGGAAUGUAAAAAGCACCCACUACACUCACGGAGCGCUUGGCAUUAGGAAGGACACCCAACUGUAGAAACACUGCCAGGUAAGACUGUGGCUUGGUGCAGCCUCAUGGCUUCCCAGACCCCAGUCGAACCAUCCAAUCCAUGCCAGCAUGGAAAACGGACAUGUUAAACGAUGAUGAUGAUGAUGAUGAUGAUAUAUAUAUCUCUUUCACUUGUUUCGACCCGGAACUUAUUCUUUGUAAGCCCAGUACUUAUUCUAUCGGUCUCUUUUGCCGAACCGCUAAGUGACGGGGACAUAAACACACCAGCAUCGGUUGUCAAGCAAUACUAGGGGGACAAACACAGACACACAAACACACACGCACAUAUAUAUAUAUAUAUAUAUAUACAUAUAUACAACGGGCUUCUUUCAGUUUCCGUCUACCAAAUCCACUCACAAGGCUUUGGUCGGCCCGAGGCUAUAGUAGAAGACACUUGCCCAAGGUGCCACGCAGUGGGACUGAACCCGGAACCAUGUGGUUGGUAAGCAAGCUACUUACCACACAGCCACUCCUGUGCCUAUAUAUUUAUGUAUAAUAUAUAGACAUAUGUAUUUAUGUAUAAUAUAUAUAUAUAUAUAUAUAUAUAUAUAUAUAUAUAUAUAUAUAUAUAUAUAUAUAUAAAUAUAUAUAAUAUAUAAUAAAAUAUUAGGGAAUAAAUCCAAACUUACAGGGAAAAAUCAGAUUUAGGAUUAAAUCCAAUUUUAUAGUAUAAAUAUAUUACAUUAUAUUAUAUUAAAUUAGAGAUAAAACCACUAUUAGCCAAAUCAAACAAUGAAAACAUAAGCCAAUACAUUAAAUUAAUUUAAUUUAUAUUAUUUUAAAUAUAUAUCAAAAGUAUUAAAAGUUUAAUAAAAGAUAAAGAGUAAAACACUACGAUCGUUUCAUGGCUGUACAAUUCGAAUAACAAUAAUUUAAAUUCAAUUAAUAAUUCGAGUUAUGGUUACAGUCAAUCUUCAGGUUAAUUGAAAUAUCUAAAAAAUAAUCAGAAAUAUUUAAACAAUAUUUUUAAGAUAUAAAUAAUAUAAUAAUUUUACUUAUAAUAAACUCUAUUAUCAAACUAGAAACAUAAAACUUAACAAUUAUGAUUAUAUCAAAAUCGACUAUAAUGUUAAAUAUUAAUUUUAAUUUAUAAGGUAGGAAACCCACCAAUAAUCUAAUAUCGGUAUUAAUCUAUAUCUAAUUACAUAAAUAUUUAAAAAUGACUAUUAUAUAUAAAUUAUCAAUGAAAAUAUAUAAAUGUAUAUAAAUAUUAUAAUUAAGAUCUAAAAUAAUCUCUAUAAAUAAAUAUAUAUGCACAUAUAAUAAAAACCUAAUAAAUUAAUUUUUCAUAUUUAAAGAUGAAAUAGCUAAUUUCAAAAUACAAAUAAACAAACUUAAACGAACUUUCGGAAAUCUUAUGUAAAAUACUUAUAGAAAUAAUCAAUUCGUAGUAAUAUAGUAUCGAAUAAAUACUAUAAAUACUAUAAAUAUAAUUAUCAAUGGGAAUAACUAGCGAAUAAUUUUUAAUACUUUUGAUAUAUAUUUAAAAUAAUAUAAAUUAAAUUAAUUUUAUGUAUUGGCUUAUGUUUUCAUUGUUUGAUUUGCCUAAUAGUGGUUUUAUCUCUAAUUUAAUAUUAUAUAAUAUAUAUAUAUAUAAUAUAUAUAUAUAUAUAUUAUAUGUAGAAAAAUACAAACUGGGACAAGAACGUAAAACAUUUAGAAGACGAUACAAAAAACACGGACGGGACAUUCGAAGCCUUCAAUCUUCAGUCAAGAACCGGAUCAUCCUAGCAAUUUCAGCUGAUUAAUCUUGAGAUCGCUCCAAUCUGGCCAGCCCCAAGGAAUAACUAAGCUACGAGCAUUAGAUUUCUUGGAAAAAGGAUCGAAUGUAUAUGAAACAGGGACUAUUUCUGUUGAAGGGCAUAGGCUCAAAGCAUAAAAGACUUUUUCAUUUUACUCGAGCACCAAACUAAUACACUUGUUUAUUGUUCAUACACCUGUCUUCGUCUUUUGUUUUUAUAUAAAUUUCAAAUAAAUCAUCUACAGAAACCAACAAAUGAAUACACAGCUUUUGUUGCCUUCGAUGUCAUAGAUAGAUAUACAUAUAUAUAUAUAUAUAUAUAUAUAUAUAUAUAUAUAUAUAUAAAAGUUAAUCCAAACAAGAAAACAAAAAGACAACAACGCGAGGAUGUGGAACAAAUAAAGUAUUAUUGGGCGCUGAGGGAAGAAUGGAAGAAGGAGGGUAUGACGUUUCGAGCAGAGCUCUUCGUCGGAAACAUGAGAGAAAUAAAGAUCCCGAGGUGGGAGGACAGAGGGAAAAAAAUGCAAGUGGUCUUCAUGAGGUCACAUACUGAAAAGGCGGAAGUGGUAAAAAAGAAGGAGCAGGUUUUCAAAAACAGGAGAGCGGAAUCAAAGAAGGAAUGGUAAACAACGGUGUGCGAGAUGACAAGGGUGUGUGUGUGAGUGUGUGCGUGUGUGUGUAUGUGUGUAUAUGGUGGGCAAAGGCUAGUGGCAAGCAGGAGUAGCGAGUCAAGAAGGCAGGUCAGAAACAGGGAGGAAUGUGUGUGUGCGUGUAUAUGUCUCGUGUGUGUGUUUUGUUGUAGUAUGUGUGUGUGUACGUGUGCGUUUUUUGUGUGUAUGGCGAGUAACUGCUUAACUAAGUGUAUGUGUGGGUGUGGGUGUGUGUGCUUGUAUGUGCGUAUAUGUAUAAUUGUGUGCAUGUAUGUGUGCGCAUGUUUUGGUGUGCGUAUGUAUGUGUGUGUCUGUGCUUAUAUGUGUGUACGUAUUUGUAUGUGUGCGUGCGCAUGGAGGUAUAUGUUGUGUGUGUGUAUAUGUGUCGGUGUGUAUGUGAAUUCGUGUGUGUUUGUACGUGUGUAAGUGUGUGUGCGUGUAUUGUAUAUAUAUAUGUAAAUGUGUGUGUGUAAGUGCGUGGGAGUGAAUGUAUGUAUGUAUGUGCAUACGUGUACAAAAUGUAGGGGUAUUAUAUGUGUGUUUAUAUGUUUAUAUGUGUGUAUAUAUAUGCAUGGAAAGACACACUUCGCAACUGAAAGAAUGAUGGAAAAUACUUCUGCGGUGACAGGCGCAGGAGAAACCCCAGGCACAACGCGCCAGCCCAGACACGAACCCGAGAUAAAGCCAGAACCCACAGGCAUGCGUGCAUGCAUGUAUGUAUGUGUGCGCGUGUGCAUGCAUGUGUGUGCACGUGCAUGCGAGUGUGUGUGUAGGUAUGUGUGUGUGUAUGUAUGCAUGUGUGAGUGUGUAUAUGUGUGUAUGUAUGUAUGCAUGUAUGCAUGCAUGUGUGUAUGUAUGUGUGUGUGUGUGCAUGUGUGUAUGUAUAUGUGUAUGUGCGUAUAUGUGUGUGUAUGUGUGUAUGUAUGUAUGUGUGUGUGUAUGUAUGUGUGUAAGCGUGUGUGUAUAAGUGUAUGUGUGCAUGUAUGUGUGUAUGUAUGUAUGGGUGUGUGUCUGUGUAUGUUUGUGUGUGUAUGUAUGUAUGUAUGAGUGAAGGUAUGAAUCUAUGUAAGUAUGUGUGUGUACGUAUGUAAUGUAUGUAUGUAUGCGUGUGUGUGUGUGUAUGUAUGCGUGUGCGUGUGUAUGUGGGUGUGUAUGUAUGUAUGUGGGAGUGUAAGUGUGUGUGUGUGUAUGUAUGCGUGUGCGUGUGUAUGUGGGUGUGUAUGUAUGUGUGUGUGAGUGUAUAGGUGUAUGUAUGUAUGUAUGUCUUGUGUAUGUGUGUGUAUGUGUGUGUAUGUAUGUAUGUAUGUGUGUAGGUAUGUAUGUGUGUGUGUAUGUGUAUAUGUAUGUAUGUGUGUAUGUGUGUAAGUGUGUGUGCACGCGUGCAUGCAUGCAUAUGUGUAUGUAUGUAUACACACACACACGAA